rnacentral:misc_RNA from 1 species
UGAGCAAGGAAUUCGAUCGGGACA